rnacentral:snRNA from 1 species
AACUGUGAAGGCGAUCUGGCUGCAACAUCUGUCACCCCAUUGAUCACUCAGGUUGUUUCAGCUGAUCUGGCUGACUAGGUGGGUAUCCCCAUCCUCCCUCAUUACUCCAUGUGCUGGAAUAACGGCAGCUCAAGCUUGAUGAAAUACUGUAAGACCACUAUCCCAAAUAGAAAGAGUAUACUGUUUUUUGAUCAAGGGUAUACAAUAGCUGUACUGCUCUGCUAAAACCCCCAAAUAAACUCAAGGUCCAUUUGUAGGACAACAUAAGGUAUCAUCAAAUGUAUUUAUUUGUUUAUUUUAU